UGCUAGCUUUCUAAACCGCAUGCCACGAGACAAACCAAAUAACAAAUUACUAACAAGUAGUUUUUAUCAUCUUCAGCAUUUCUAUGCGUAAUACUGCUAAAAUGUAUCGAAAAUAUCUAACACUCUCAGAAUUGUACACUUUCAAGUUAUUUAGGUUGAUCGCUUCCCAACCAAUCUAGUUGAACCUUUGGCCACUUCGCCUCUGCGUUUAUCUCAUAGCGACUUUAAUGCUUCUCAUUUUUGGCGGAUUUUUUUAUCUAUUUCUGAGAUCUCUUUAAUAUCUCUCUAUAAUGGAAGGGCAGGACCAUUGAAGCAUGGGACUACUGCGUACGUCGCGUCAAGCUGGCGUUUCUCCUCAAACGCCGUUACGUUUAGGAAUAAUAACUUACGGGUGAGACUUGCAGUUCGAUUACUACAAUUUCCUAACCUACAGAUAAAUGUCACCAAAGCGAACGCGCAAAAAUCGUUGUCAAGGAUGUUUAGUGUGGGAGCAACUUACGACCCCGCUGCUGUUUAACUGCUUAGGCAACUACGCCUCCCAACCGCCGUCGUCUUUACCGGUACAUCAUCAUUGUUUGAAUGCGAUACCUGCACGAACAGGCAAACUGGCGACAAGAAGGUAGAUAGAAAAACAAGGCAAGCCCUGCUGCUUUUGCUGUGGGUCCGCGGCUCACACACAGUCAGAGCAAAUCUACCUUUUCGUGUCCACUUCUAUACGACGUUCGAGAGCAUUCAUAUAUAUAUAUGGACGAAGAGACGUUCGCUUGCGUUGCCGCCAGGGCCGCCGCCGCCGCUGUUGCUGAUAAACGGGCCGUUAAAAGGGGACCCGAGUGCGCUCAUUUCUCUUGUUCAUAUUUCCCCCCAUUUUCGGACUUUCUAUCUUUAUACACACAUAUAUACCUAUGUAUGAGCGUGUGUGUGUGUGUUAUGCAGAAGCGCUCUUCUUUCGUCUACGUCAAGCAAGCAACUGGAUUUGUUCUGCGAGCGAAGAUCGCCCGUCGUUCCGGGUCCACCCUUGGCCUAAUCGACGCGGCUACGUUACAAAAAAGCCAUCGCAAGAGGAAGGACAGAAUGAGAAAAAAAAACAUUCUUCUUCACGACCACUCGUUUCCGUUACUGUUACCGCGAUCCCUUGGUGCGUCCGUGUCCUUUGUGCGUUUGGACUGUCCACCGAAGAUGGGUUUCUGUCGACUAAGAUACCACCGGAGGAUCCGUUUGAACAGAAGAGACGAGAUAUUGGUACAGUCUAUGGGUGUGAUUUUGGGCGGUGCUUGCAGCCGACUCAUAGAGCGGCACCCUAGCCGAAGGCGAGUCCGAUAGACCUAAAAUACUCUGCGAAGGCCACUGAACUGACAAAGUUACUUUUGCUCUAAUCAUCGUUGUUGCCGCUUUUCCCGUUGCAGACAGCUUUUACUUUGCCGUGCCCCCGUAGCGUAGCAAGGAAACAAAUAUAGCCAGUGUUAACAUAUUCAACCGAAUCAGCGAGGACACCACUAAAUAGCGCAAUAACAACAACAACAACAACAGUGACUAGAAAAGGCUCAAGUUUUACUGGUUUGUUCGAUCGAUGAUCCUCUUGGCAUACAAACGAAACUUUCAAUAAUAAAAUGGCGCCACUUCACGCUGAGUAGGUCACUACCGUCCGCCUACAAGAGUAGGAUGUUUUAGCGACAAACAGCUACAGUCUCAUAGAGGCAAUAGUAAUAGACGUUCACACAACGUAAAUAACUAUUGCGUUAGCGGAACAGUCGCCAUCGCCGCGGUGUCCACCGUUGCGGUCAGUUACAUCAUCUUUGUUUCAUAUCGUUAAUAUCGAAAACGACGCAAACGAUUUGCCCGAUUUUAAUUUCAACCGCCAUAUUCCUUUUUCAGGGCAAACAAUGUUACCGAUGAAGUCAGCUACGAAAUGUAAUGUCAUAGUCUGGGUUGCUUAGCAAGCAUGUGUUCAAUUGAUAACUUUAGUUAAAUAUAUACUAUAAAAGACAUUGACAUUGCUACAAUAUUUAGGAAGCCUAACACCUCAACCCUUUAUUGUUAGUACGGAUAUAAUAAGGUUACAUAUAUAAUCUGACGCAUACAUGUGCCCGCUGUGUAUAUCUUGAUAUGUACGUUACACAGGGUUAGGGGAACGAACAAAAAAGUAGUCGUGAGGUCUGUGGCGACGCUGGCUCGUCACCGCUGAGCUUUAUCGAAACGAGAAUGCCGAUAUCAAGAGGUAAGAUAAAUUGAGGUACUUAAACCGGCAGCAAUGCCAGCUGAUUUGAUCGGAAUGAUGCUGGUCAGAUUCUGCCCACGAACACGGAGGCGGGGGUGCUCACGGACCAGUUGUACAGCAGCAUCAGCGACUACGACAACCGUUACAACAACAACAGCAGCAGCAGCAACAGCAACAGCAACAGC